rnacentral:rRNA from 1 species
GCGGUUAUUUAAGUCUGGGGUGAAAGGUUCAGCGCUCAACGUGAACAGUGCCUUGGAUACUGGAUGACUUGAGUCUGGGAGGGGGAAGGGGAAUUCCUGGUGUAGCGGUGAAAUGCGUAGAUAUCAGGAGGAACACCGGUGGCGAAGGCGCCUUCCUGGCCUAAGACUGACGCUGAGGUGCGAAAGCGUGGGGAGCAAACGGGAUUAGAUACCCCGGUAGUCCACGCCGUAAACGAUGAGUGCUAGGUGUCGGGGGUAUCGACCCCCCCGGUGCCGUCGCUAACGCAUUAAGCACUCCGCCUGGGGAGUACGGCCGCAAGGUUGAAACUCAAAGGAAUUGACGGGACCCCGCACAAGCGGUGGAGCAUGUGGAUUAAUUCGUCACUAACCGAAGAACCUUACCCAGGUUUGACAUCGAGGGUAAGACCAUGAAAGUGGUACCUCUAGCAAUAGACCCGAAGACAGGUGUUGCAUGGCUGUCGUCGGCUCGUGUCGUGAGAUGUUGGGUUAAGUCCCGCAACGAGCGCAACCCUCACCGUAUGUUGCCAGCGUAAAGUCGGGAACUCUUACGGAACUGCCCGUGCAAGCGGGAGGAAGGUGGGGAUGACGUCAAGUCGGCAUGGCCCUUACACCUGGGGCUUCACACAUGCUACAAUGGGCGUCAACAGAGGGGUGCAAGGCCGCGAGGUCAAGCAAAUCCCAAAAAUACGUCCUCAGUUCGGAUUGCAGGCUGCAACUCGCCUGCAUGAAGCUGGAAUCGCUAG